CCUACGGGAGGCAGCAGUGGGGAAUUUUCCGCAAUGGGCGAAAGCCUGACGGAGCAACGCCGCGUGAUCGAAUGAAGGCCUUCGGGUUGUAAAGAUCUGUUGACAGGGACGAAGCAGCAAGGCGAAUAGUUUUGUGUAUGACGGUUACUGUUUAGAAAGCCACGGCUAACUACGUGCCAGCAGCCGCGGUAAUCAGGAGGGAGCAAGCGUUGUCCGGAAUUACUGGGCGUAAAGGGCGCGUAGGUGGGCGCUUAAGUCAGGUGUGAAAACUCCGGGCUCAACCUGGGGACUGCACUUGAAACUGGGUGUCUUGAGGGCAGGAGAGGAAGGUGGAAUUCCUAGUGUAGCGGUGAAAUGCGUAGAUAUUAGGAGGAACACCGGUGGCGAAGGCGACUUUCUGGACUGUACCUGACGCUGAGGCGCGAAAGCGUGGGUAGCGAACGGGAUUAGAUACCCCGGUAGUC
rnacentral:rRNA from 1 species